rnacentral:rRNA from 1 species
UACGUAGGGUGCAAGCGUUAAUCGGAAUUACUGGGCGUAAAGCGGGCGCAGGCGGCUUUGCAAGACAGAUGUGAAAUCCCCGGGCUUAACCUGGGAACUGCAUUUGUGACUGCAUGGCUGGAGUGCGGCAGAGGGGGAUGGAAUUCCGCGUGUAGCAGUGAAAUGCGUAGAUAUGCGGAGGAACACCGAUGGCGAAGGCAAUCCCCUGGGCCUGCACUGACGCUCAUGCACGAAAGCGUGGGGAGCAAACAGG